CCCGAUCGGAGCAAGCUCCGCCACCGGCGAGCCCAGAUUCUGCGGCAGAAACGAGAGGACAUCCGCGUGAAGAAGAUCAUCGA
rnacentral:ribozyme from 1 species